UCUUGAUGCGUCUUGAUGCGCCUGCGCAGUUCAGCUUCGUUUCCCUGUCCUUGCAACCACGUUAUCAAAGGUCAUCAUUGCUCCUUUAUAGUUGGAUAGAGCUUUUUGGCAGUGGGGGGAAGAGCUGGGGUUUGAUCCAUUGGAAAAUGACACAAAGAUAUGACUCACGCUGGAGAAGAAAAGUUAGGAUUCCAGAAAAUACUUGCAAAAGAUACAGAAAAAAGGACACACAAAGAGUGGAGAACUCAGAAUCAACAAACUGGAGGCCAGAUGGUUGCUGCACAGAAGGACUAGAGUGCCAUGCUACUCCUGAAUCUGCUGACUUUGCCCUU